GGCACUGAUUGCCAGGAAAGCAACUUCCAAUAUAGAAUGUGGAAUUUCCGCCAUAUUUCUUUCUGUGCCAUCAUUGUUACCAACAUUUUUGAAUAAUUGAUCAUGGGAAUCAUAUUUAUGCCCUUGCCACUUGGUGUUAUUAAUACUGGUAACAAAGAAAUAUCAAUUGAAUCAGUAAGUAGGCUGCUUAACACACAACUUUCCAAGAUGGCGGCUUUAUCAUUUGGAUAUUUAAUGUUUAUGACCUCAUUUGUAGUAUUUGUGUUGUAAUCAUUUUAAAGUCAUCAGUAUAAUGACAAUAAUCAUAUUUGUAGUUAAGUUUUAGAUUAAACAUCAAUUUAAAGCAAUCCAUAAGUGGAUAGUUAAGUUUCACUUCGUUAUCUAUUAGUUUAUGCCUAAAAUUAUAGCUUAUACAUAAUAUAAUAAUGCACAAAUUUAAUAUAGAUACCUCUUAUCGAUGAGAUGAUGUCGGGUACUUUGUUUCGAGAGAGGUACUUGUACUAUCAAAGAUACUCCAAUUGCUUUGAAGUUAUAAGAGCCAUUGGUUUGCGUUUUACUUGUGGUUAUGUUUUCAACGCUUAGAUUUUGGUCAAAAUCUUGGUUAUCUAUGAAACUUAAUUUUGCAUUUUCAAAAUUACUUCUAAAAUUGUUUAAACUGAAAACAUCUUGCAGAACUAAAACUAAAAACAGAAAAACGUUUGUUCUCAAUGAGUUCAUGAUUCAUACUAACCCAUAUCUUUGAUUUUGACAUUCUACAUAAUGAUAUAAUAUCCAUCUGUGCAAAUGUGUAAACUGCGGUUAUGUCAUGUUCAAUUUUGGGUUUUUAUUAAUAUCUCUGUGUUAUCAUCAAAAAUUAUCCUAAACUUAGCAUUUCUUUGUGUAAUCAAAUAUUCCUUUUUAUUACCCGCCAUUUUGAUAUUGGUUUAGUGGGUUAAUACCUACCACUGAAUGCUUUUGAUCAUGAUCAAUCCAAACGUGCAUUAUUUACGAAAAAUGCCCACAAAAACAACUUGAUAAAGCCACAAGAGUGUAAUUGAUUGAAUAUAAUCGAUCUAGUUUCCCGCUUUCGUGAAUAAAUAACCCUCACACACGACACACACACACAUUGAGGUUGGGUUUACGUGGUAUUUGCGGUUUUAAGUGGGUAUUUGUUGCUUGAAUCGCGGAAAAGCAAAUCUAUAACCGCAGCGAGCAAAUUGAUGCGCAAACAGUUCCAGAAUGAAAAUGCCGAAGGCGAUUAUAAUGCCAACGACAAAGACCAACGCAGCAGGAUAACAAUCCACGAUGGCGACACCCAUAAACGAACUACCACGGGACAUACAUAUUGGUCGUUUGGUGUAGAGCAAUGAGACCUCACGGUUUUGAAUACCACUUUCAUGCAUUUUCCUUAAACUAAAACAAAAAAUAAUGGAUUAUUACUAAAAAUACAUUUAAUACUUGCCCAAUCUUAAUAAUUUCCUUAAAAGACGUGUUUUUCUGAACGGCCAAGAAAGGAUCAGGCACCUGCAGGAACUGUAUCUCUUUCAAACCACACUUUUCAUCUUCCAAAAAAGUUUCGCCCACUAUUUUAUACCCGGCUCCUGUUUCCAUAUGAAAAGCAAACAAUCCUUCUCUCAAUCUGCGAACUCCUUCUUCAAUUGGGAAAAAUCUUGGUUUCUGACCAGGUGGUACCACUUUCUGGCGAUAUAUUGCUCUUCUUACAGGUUCAGAAGCAUUCUAUUUAGAUUACAAUUAAAACUGCACUAAUGAAAUUAAUUUUUAAAAAAGGGAAUCAAUGAUUUACCGGAAAAUAAAAUUGGUUGAAUACAGUGUCAUCAACUCCAACCUGCAGACGACUUUUAAGCAAAUCCUCCAAGGUUUGAAUUGAUGUAGAAGACGAUUGUAAGAGGGCAACAAUAUUAGCAGAAUAUGAAGUAUACAGAAACAUUAAAGACGUGUACAUUAAAAUGGUAAUAAUGCGUCCGGUUAUGCUGAAGGGAAUUGCACUUGCACCUUGUUGACAAACUGCAGCAAAAGCUACGAAAGCAACGUCCACAGGAUCAUCUUGGAGUUCAUCUGUGUUUGAGACAUUUGUAUAUGCAACCUAAACAUCAUAAAAUUAAAAUUUACUGUAACUCUCAAACAAUUUGACAUAAAGAAGCCAUUUUUGUUUUUCCAGGUAGAUAUUAACAAAUAUUACAAAAUGGCCACCGGAUAUUUACAGUUUUUUCAUUAUUUGUUAAGAAAAACUUAAUUUAAGUAAACUUACGUAUUUUCUGCGUUUGUACCAUUCCCACUUAACUCCCACAUACAACCCGGCUGCUGUAAUCACCACACUUGCCAUACUAGCCAACCACACCCCCGUGUUAAACGGCAAAGUGUAAACAUUGGUGAUAUACGAAAGUUUCGGCUGUCGAAAGACAAACUUUGACUUUGUAGGCGUCGUCAUUGCUAUGUAAUCAAUGAUAGGCACUCUAUCACUAGUGAAAAACAGCGGCGUACCUAAAUUUAAUAAAAAUAACACUAAACAAUU